rnacentral:lncRNA from 1 species
GCGGUGACGGUGACAACAGCCCCACGAUGACCCCGAGGGACAACACCCGGCGCUUCGCGUCACCCGCGCCGAUGUCACCCUUCGAGCGUCACCCAUUUGUCACCCGUUUCAUUGUCACCAUUUUGUCACCCCUUCAGUGUCACCCUACUACCAUCACCCGCUUGUCACCCUUUCGGUGUCACCAUUUUGUCACCCUUUCAGUGUCACCCUUCUACCGUCACCCGCUUGUCACCCUUUCGGUGUCACCAUUUUGUCACCCGUUUCGCGACCACCAUUUUGUCACCAUUUUGGUGUCACCAUUUUGUCACCCUUUCCGUGUCACCCUUUCAGUGUCACCCAUUUGUCACCAUUUUGUCACCCCUUCCAUGUCACCCUUCUACCGUUACCCGCUUGUCACCCUUUCGGUGGCACCCUUUUCCUGUCACCCGUUUCAGUGUCACCAUUUUGUCACCCCUUCAGUGUCACCCUUCUACUGUCACCCGCUUGUCACCCUUUCGGUGUCACCAUUUUGUCACCCGUUUCGCGACCACCAUUUUGUCACCCUUUUGGUGUCACCAUUUUGUCAACGCUUCAGUGUCACCAUUUUACUGUCACCCAUUUGUCACCAUUUUGUCACCCAUUUGUCACCAUUCUACCAUCACCCGCUUGUCACCCUUUCAUUGUCACCCUUUCACUGUCACCCAUUUGUCACCAUUUUGUCACCUCUUCAGUGUCACCAUUCUACCAUCACCCAUUUGUCACCCACUUCGGUGUCACCAUCUUGUCACCCGUUUCAGUGUCACCAUUUUGUCACCCAUUCGUGUCACCAUUGUACCCUCACCCAUUUGUCACCCACUUUGGUGUCACCAUUUUCCCGUCACCCACUUCAGUGUCGCCAUCUUGUCACCAUUUUGUCACCCCUUCAGUGUCACCCUUUCAUUGUCACCGUUUCGGUGUCACCAUUUUGUCACCCAUCCGUGUCACUAUUCUACCAUCACCCAUUUGUCACCCACUUUGGUGUCACCAUUUUGUCACCCUUUCACUGUCACCAUUUCGGUGUCACCCACUUGUCACCAUUUUGUCACCCCUUCAGUGUCACCCACUUGUCACCAUUUUGUCACCCGUUCGUGUCACCCUUUCACUGUCACCGUUUCGGUGUCACCCAUUUGUCACCAUUUUGUCACCCAUUCGUGUCCCCCUUCUACCAUCACCCACCUGUCCCCCACUCCGCUGUCCCCAUUUUGUCACCCUCUCCCCGUCCCCCAUUUGUCACCGUUUUGUCACCGUCCCGUUGUCCCUCGCCGCCACCUGUGGAAGCCACACCCGGAGCUCAGCCAUCACCCCAAAUCCCCCAUUUCUCACCCCAAAAACGGUGUCCCCAUGUCGGAGCGGCACCCGGAGGACGGCGGUGUCACCUCUGUCCCCUCCACGGGGCCGUCCCCGUGUCCCUCUCCCUCCGGUUCUUACGUGGGGGGGCACCGGUGGCCACC